GACGGAGGGAGCAAGCGUUGUUCGGAUUUACUGGGCGUAAAGGGCGUCUAGGCGGAUUGGUAAGUCAGGUGUGAAACCCCUCGGCUCAACCGGGGAUCUGCACUUGAUACUGCCAAUCUUGAGUAUGGAAGAGGAAAGCGGAAUUCCAGGUGUAGCGGUGAAAUGCGUAGAUAUCUGGAAGAACACCGGUGGCGAAGGCGGCUUUCUGGUCCAAUACUGACGCUAAAGCGCGAAAGUGUGGGGAGCAAACAGGAUUAGAUACCCUGGUAGUCCACACUGUAAACGAUGGAUACUAGGUGUCGGGGGUAUCGACCCCUCCGGUGCCGCAGCUAACGCAUUAAGUAUCCCGCCUGGGGAGUACGGUCGCAAGGCUGAA
rnacentral:rRNA from 1 species